rnacentral:rRNA from 1 species
UACGGAGGGAGCUAGCGUUGUUCGGAAUUACUGGGCGUAAAGCGCGCGUAGGCGGCUUUGUAAGUUAGAGGUGAAAGCCUGGAGCUCAACUUCAGAAUUGCCUUUAAGACUGCAUCGCUUGAAUCCGGGAGAGGUGAGUGGAAUUCCGAGUGUAGAGGUGAAAUUCGUAGAUAUUCGGAAGAACACCAGUGGCGAAGGCGGCUCACUGGACCGGCAUUAACGCUGAGGUGCGAAAGCGUGGGGAGCAAACAGG